AGGUGUUCAUCAAAUCAAUCACUAAGAUAAGGAGAUACAGUAGCUAUUCGUUUCUUAUUCACAGUAAAAAAAAAAGGUCAUCUAUGAGCAUAAAGUUGGGUUUUGAUUUAAAUUUUGAUGAAGUUUUUGGUUAGAUAUUCUGUGGUUGAUUCGGUGAAUGUUUGAGAUGAGUUUCGUGAGACUAACGAGUAAUAUGAGUUAUUGGGUUUCGAUCCAAUUCGAUUUGGAUGGAGUCAAUGGGUUAGUGGCAUUGAUCUUGGAUGUCAAAUAAGGUUUGCAAUAAAGAGGGUUUUUCAUUAACAGCAAAACCAUCAGGUUGCAAAUAAGGUGUUUGACAAAAUGACUGAACAACCAGUUUAGUUUCAUCAUGUUUGCAAUGGGUUUGGAUUGUCUUGCGAAGCAGCAAAUCCGCUACCUCUGUUAAUAUUAUUCUUUCUCUCUAUUUUGUGGGCAAGUUACAAUGGGGGCUUUAUAAUUUUGUUUGUAUUCAUUCUACUUUGAAACUGAUUAGAUUUUUAGUGUUAUGAAGUAGAAGAUUUUUUACUAUAGAUUUGUUUGAUUUUUUGUGUGUUUCAUAUAAAGUACACAAUAAUGCAUUAUCCUUUUAAUUACCAUGUACGAAUAGUUAAAAACAUAAUCACUUAUUCUUAUUCUUAGUGCAAAUUUGGCGCAUUGUCUUAUGCUUAGUGCAGAAUUUUAAUUAUUAUCAUAAGUUUAAUUUUCACUUCCAGUCACGAUGAUGACGGCUCGGAAAGCAUCGAAAGAUUAGAUGUUGCAGCUGAUGAAGUACUCGGAGAUGAAAAUGGGAUUGAUUCAGAACUGUUGUAUAAAAAACUACCUUUCCAGGUUAAAUGCCUCAUGUGAAUGUCUAGUAAUUUUAAUGCGACAUGUAAAGGAAGAUUAUCUAGGUCCCAUUUUUGCUAUCUCGAUUGGGACGGCAGAUCGAUGAAUUCUACUUGCUUAAAAUUUUCAGGGACGGUGAUCUUCCUCUUAUUACACUUUCAAGUUACUCGAUUUUCAACUAAGAUGUAUUUACGACAACAGCCAGCCAUCUUCUUUACAACUGAAAUGGGUAUAAGUUUUUUACAAAGGCUGGAGGAUUGGGCAAAGCUGACAUCAAGGACAACUUGGAGCUUGCUGCCAGCAUAUUCUGUCUAUUGGGCUUCUAAGGUAGUAGGUAGUUGCGAAAAAAGGCAGCUUGACCAGUGUACCGGUGCAGAUACGGCAGGGAAAAUAUCUCAUUGCUGGAAGCAGUGUUUGAAUUCCUUCUCAUUUUUGGAUUCACUGUGUUAGUGAUCUUGAUGGUGUAGCAUGUAAAGUAUCUCGAACCUCAUAGAAGAUUGCCUUCUAAAGCUGUGUGCGCAAGGAUUACAAAUUAACGAAUCUCGCUUGGAGGGUACACAUGAAAAGGCGCUGAUGGUGGCAGUGGCAGAGGCAGAGGCAGAGGCAGAGGCGGUGAAAAGAAGAAGAAUCAUUCAAAAAAAAAGGUGGUGUCACUGGUGGAGGCGGUGAAAAACUGGUCUCGGUUUAGCUAAUAAGAAAGAUGUUUUUGUGGCUAGAUGCAGACAUUGCAGGAGGUGUGUUCGAAUCAUCUCGGAACCAGAACAAAAUGGGUUUUGAGAGUGGUAUAGCUGCUCUAGAUGCUGGUGAUUUUGCAUGGGAAACAACUCUAUAUACCUGAUUCUAUUGCAGACCAGUUCUGUUAGAGAAAAAACUAUAACCACACCAGAUUAUAUUACAUCUAUAUAACAAGUACAGUUGAAUGAGUUAGAUCACCUAAUUUUGUUGUAUGUAUGUGUUGGAGGCAGUAUUAUCAUUUUGCCAUCUGAGGCUGUUUUGUGUGGACCAAAUUAUGUAUAUGUUGGAGAGGAAAA